GCCAAUGUAGCUCAGUCGGUAGAGCAAUUCACUCGUAAUGAAUAGGUCGUCCGUUCGAUUCGGAUCAUUGGCUCCA
rnacentral:tRNA from 1 species